rnacentral:lncRNA from 1 species
CGACCCAAACAAAAUCAAAUCUAAAAUCCAUGGACGCCGCCUCUCCAUAUUACUUACAUCCCAUCAAACUCCUAUUGCUGAAUUUGAAUUGCUUCUGUAUUCUCGCACCAUCAAGGUUAGCUUCCAUGCACACGCCAAGUCCAAGUUCCCAAGUCCAAGUUCUAUCUCACGCUCGCGUGCCAAAGCUCACCCAAAGUCUCCUCCUAAGCC